CACGGGCUUUUAAAAAUCAGCACGGGAAAUAUAUUUUGUUAGUUUCAUGUGGUUGCCAGAGCCCACUCUGGAUGCAUGAUUUACUAGGGCACGUGGCACAUGUUUUGAAAAAUCACCCUCCUUUGGGAAUUGGACUCCUUAAGAUAUUUGUUCAGAGAUGUUCAAGCUGUCAGUUACAAGAUGCUCGAGCCAGAAACGGGCAAGUCUGGGCAAAAUCCAUUAGUCGUGACCAAGGGUUCCGGAGUCCUGAAGACGAACAUGCAUAAUAAACAUACUUUGGUGGGACCAUUCAUUCUCAACACUCCAAAGGCUGGUAAUGAUUGCUGUGGAAAAAUACUACCUUCCCAAAAGUACUUAUGGAUUUAAAGAUCAUCCUGAAGACAGAGCAACAGAAACGUGUGGGCUAAAAUAUAAAGAGGAAUGGCCCCCAGGCUCCAAGAGCAAAAUAUCAGUAACCUCAUAUUCAUCAUCUCUUAUACCAUCUUUUCUAAUACCCACAGCAAGCUUGUGAAUUUGGUAAGUUAUUCUUAACCUCAUUUGACAGAUAAAGAAAUUAAAACUAAAAGAAGUUUGCUUAUGAAGAUGACACAGGAUUAAACGAAAGAAUCAGGACUUUAAUAGAGAUCUCUGACUUUCAGAGUGACGCACCAACCACUUUGCAUAUUGCCCAAGAGGAAGGUAAAAUCAUUGGCAAGUUAAUGUAUACAUCUUUAAUGGUGUUAAUAAUUGUAAUUGUGCUACAUAAUAAUAAUGGCAUAAGAGACGAGCAGUGCACAUAAGUGGCUGAAAUUAACAUGACUUUUAAACAUAGCCAUACUUAGUAUUUUUGGCACCUAUGAGGGAGGGAAGAAAGUUUCUGAGUUUGCCACUCAUUGUCUGAAUUUGGGAAACUGAAGGUGACAAAAUUUCCUUUUUCCACCUUCCUAUCAAAGCUUGUUGAUGACAAAGUCUGUGCAUUGCAAUAUGAAAUGAAGUGUGGGCCCAAAUGAAAUCCCCUGUUUUGGAGGGUAAAUUAAUUCAAUCAGAGAGCAUUGCCUGCACCCAUCGCUCAGAUAAUAGAUAGGGAUCUUUCCUUUUAGUAUUUCAGCAGUGUUUUUUUCUUAAUCCUUAAAGAGAGAGGGGAUGCCCAGAGUCUGUGGAGAACAGGUCAAGCGGAGUUGUUACUAAGCGAGGUCAGAAACAGGUUUGUUUUGAUAACCUUCUACCUCCCUGGUCUCCCUUGUCUAGACCCCUCAGCGAGAACUAGAGCCCUCUUCUGGUUCUAGGCACUGCCCUGAAGCAUCCCAAGGUUCUUCUAAAUGAUUCUCAAAUUAUUUUGACCUCAGGGAAAACUCUUAAUCCCUCAGUGUAGACAAGGAUUCAGCAAAUCGUUUUGCUAAAGGGCUAGAUAGUAAAUAUUUUCACCUCCACAGGGCCAAAUGUUCUCUCACAACUACUCGAUAUGCAAAUCGUAGUGUGAAAGCGGCCACAGACAAUAUGUAAACAAAUGAGAAGGGCCAUGUGUCAGUAAAACUUUAUUGACAAAAGCAGACAGCAGGCUGGAUUUGACCCAAACGCCAUAGUUUGAUAACCCCUGAUGUAGACCAUGUCCUUCAUUACACUGUGUUCUAGUGUCAAAGUAACACAGAGGAGAAAGGUAAUACUGACAGCGGGUCCUCCUUUCAUCAGUAUUAGCACCUACACAAUUCCAGGGCCUGUGCCCCGUGUGAACAUUUAGUGGCGAUUAACUCAGACGUGUAUUCUGGACUCGUGCUGCUUCUCCCCCUUCUCCCAGGAGAAGAGCAGGACUAUCUUGACACAGGAUGGCAAUAUUUCAAAUUAGUAAUUCACUUCUUUUGCAACAAUAUAUGCGCUCUGCCAAUAAAGCCCUUGGGAAACUUGCAAACUACACAAAGUUUGCAUAUCCACAUUCCCUUCUCAACCUUAUCUUGUGCUUUAUCUCUCACCCCCGAGACAGUCAGUGCCCUUGCUCUAUUGCCGAGAGUCUGCCCUCUCCUCCAUAUUCCACACUCUUCCUCCUCCAUAUUCUACCCCCACACGAAAUCUUCUUGACCUAUUCAACACCAACACAAUGUCCUUAGAGUCUUGAACUUGACAAAUUAAAUUUAUUAGCACCGUGGUAUAAAUGAUGCAGAUUUUCUUGUUUAAAAAGCAAGCUUGUGAACCCAACUUAUGCUGCAGCUGGUGAUAAAGUACGUAUGAUCAAGUGUGCAUCUCCACACCCUGCCUAAGCCGUCAGGGAUCAAGUCCUUCUUUUCCAGGCUUAAUAGAAAUUAAGCUGAAUCCCGUAGAAGGAGAACCUCCAGUAGCGUUUUCAGUUUUCUGGAAGAAGAGAGAAAAGAGAACAGAGGUACUUAUUACAGGAGGUACAGGCAGUUCAAGGCCUACCUUGCUGUGCCAGCUCAAACAGACGGUAUGUGACAGAUUAAUUUAGACCAGCACACACCUUACUGGGAAGUAAGUGCUAAUAGAAGAAAGCAGAAUUAAAUAUUUAAAUAUGGCAAAAUAAAAAUUUGAAUUGUCUCUACUCCCUUCUCAUUUUUUCUUUCCUAAUUUUCCAAGGAUGGCUUUUGUUUGGAGAUCUAGAGAGUCAACUUUGACUUGUGAUUUCAAAUGUCGUUUGGACUACAGUCAUUAAGCAACCGAUGAGAAAUAAAAAUUUAAGUGGAUAUUUCUGAGUGAGUAGAAAAAUAUCACAAGCAAUUUUUUGUUUGUAGAAAAGAGAGGUGAGAUUCUGUACUAGUCCGAAGAGAAAAGUCAAUGGUUAUGGUGUGAGAGGACACAGGAUAAAUGAUGUAUAGAACCAGGAAGAAAGUCUAUAAAAUUCAAUCAACUUCUAUAGGCUUGUUUGGUACAAAAAACCAGGGACACUUGGAGUAGCUCUGCGUUUCAGCAAGCAUAAUGGAUUUUGGCCGUCAGCCUACUCCAGUGCAUUUCUUUUCCCUAGGGAGUUAUUUUUAUAGCCCAAGAAACUGGUCUAAAAAGAGUUGGGGUUACUUAAGAAGUGGUGAUUUACUAUUUAGUUCUGGAAGGGCUCUAAUGGCUUGGAAGUCUAAUCUGUACCUGGCUUUACCUGAAUGGAUUCAUUUUUCUUGUGUGAUAAACUUCUUCAUUGGACAACAAUGAAACGACUGGGCUAAUUAUGAUGUCAGCUGACACUGGUGGUGUGAAGGCGUCUUGAAGUUGGAUUCAGCCCAGCUCAAGCAAAAUGGAGACCAUAUUGAAAACGGAAAGUAGAAAUGCAUCAGAAUCUCCUCUCCAGAGGAGUUCGGGCUCUCGUCCCUGCUCCUUUCUCAUAUCUACCUCAUCUUUCCUGUCUGUGUGAACGAAUGAUUAUUAGCCAUUUUUGUGCUAUGGGUGCCCUUGGCCCUUUGAAGAAACCCGUGGAAUUCUUCUCAGAAAAUACUUUCAGUGUAUAAAAUACAUGAUAUAGGAUUAAAAAAGAAACCAGGCAUAUUAAAACACAAUCAUAAAAUAUUAAUUUUAAAUUUGAUUUUUUGAUGUAAAUUUUUGCAAUAUAUUAACAUACAUACUUCUUUACAAUGUAGUCAAUAAGAAGAUCUGGCAUUGUAUCACUAACUACCAUAAUUCCAAAAUGUGUAUAAAUUCUUUGAGGGUUCUGACGUGAAAAUAUCAGUAAUUUCUGUUGGAAAUAAAAUCAUAGGUAUUGCCAGUACUACUCUAGUUUUGCCUAAAUUAGUAAUAUGGUUAGAGGCUGGUGAAACCAAUGUACUCUUUUUCCCUUCCGAGUUCAUGAAGCUCCCUGAAUUCUAUUCCUGGGUUCAGGGUAAGAAGUGCUGCUAUUUACUAUCUUCUUUUUGAUCUCUGUACAAAUUGGGAAAUGAUGAACUAGCUUAAGAGUGGCGUGGUCCCAGAUCCAGGGCUCCUGACAACUGUCACAUGUCUAGUUGUGCCAAUGCUAAAUCCCCAAGAGAGUUAAUCUGAUUGGCCAGAGACCAAGUAUCCAUUCUUAUUCUCAAAAACAGGAGAAGAGUGGAUCCUGUAAAAGAUCCUUGCAAAAGAUCCUGUAAAGCAAGCUCAUCCUUGACCCAUUCUUUUGGGGAACAAGGAGAAAGAGAAUUUUCAAAGACAGGAUAUGCGUAAGGCAGACACCCCAAAAAGACCUUUUACAAAUUCAGGUUUAAGACCUUUAAAAGUAAUUUGAAAAUUCCUUAGCACUGCCUUACAGGUAUAAUGAGGGAGUUCUCAGGGUGAACAGUGAUCACUGUUCAUUGGGAAGAAAAGUUGUCUAUGUACACAUAAAAGUCUAGGUACUUGAAAAGUCUUCUCUGGCAUUGUCCAAUAGAACUUUCUGUGGUGAUGGAAAUGUUCUCCAUCUGUACUAUCCAAUAUGGUAGUCAUGUCUAGCUAUUAAGCAACUGAAAUGUGGCUUAUGUGACUGAGGGAGUAAAUUUUAAAUUUUCUUUUAUCUUAAUUAAUUACAAUUUAAAUCUACAUAGCCAUGCGUGGUUAGUGGCUACGGUAGCAGACAGCCCAGGUCUAACUGGUUAAAUAGUGCAUCUCCCUCACUUUCCUGUAACCAUGACACUCCAGCCAAACCAGCAAAGAACUCCUAUUAUUCAGCUUCUGACCUUUGUUGCGUCUGUUUCCCAGCCAGGCACACAUUCAUGGUAUCUGUCCAUUGCUCUGCGUCGUAGCAUACUUCAUAUGCCCAACUGGAAUCCCACCUCCUCUGGACGACUUCUAUUAUCAGCCUAGCCCUCUGAAAUCUUAAGGCAUCUAUUACUAUAUCACUAAGUGGGACAGAUCACAUAACACUUGGUACAUAUUGAUCUUUUAAAAAUUGUUUACAGUUUACUUUCAAGUAGAGUACAGGCUCCUCUUGGGGAAGAAACAAUUUCUCACAUUUCUUUGAAUAUAGGUGUUCAAUGCAAUUUUGUUGCAAAUGAGGUCACUAGAUGCUUUGGAGAAGCAGAUGACUCAAAUGAAGACGUAAGUCCACUAGAGCAAGGAUACCUGGGGGUAGAGAAUCACUUUGUGGAAACAGAUCAUUGAAAUAGUUUAGAGCGAAGAGAAGCCAAGAAUUCACUUGGGGCUAUCUUUAGGCAAAUGAAGUAUUCUCCUUUUAUGGAUAAUAUCCAGGUCUAAGGAUAUUGAAUAAUUUACACGAGAUCAUAUGCCGAUAAAGGAUGGAGGGGACACUGGAACCUAGGUCCCCGGCAUUCAACAAUGUCUUCAGAGCAGGAUGCUAGAAAAACCAGAGAACUCUUAAGAAGCAAGAGAGAGGGGCCAAUAGAAAGAAGAGGAUAGUGGAGGGGAAAUUCACCAAAAGAAAUAUAACAGAAGGUUUAUCAUGGAUAUCCUUGGUCUGUAUUAGUUUGCAGAAAACCUAAGAGGUAAUUCCCACAAAAUUAAAGGAAAUUCAAAUAUUAGAUAGAUGAAGAAGUCCUUCUAAUUUUAAAUACCAGUAACUCCUGAGUUAGCUGACUAGAUUGAAUACAAGAAUCCAGGCAUAGUAAAUAGAUAUGCUUAUGAUAUCCCCCCCAUGCUCAAUGGUCUCCAGGUCACAAUCUUUCACCUGAUACAGACUUGGGGUGCAUACCGCACUGCACAUUUGCAUGCCAGACUGCAAUGCACCAAGCAUGGAUGGGAAGCCUUGCCAGAGGAGAAAUUAUUGACAGCGUUUUUUAUAAGAUUUUGCCAUGAAAAUUGGAAACAAUGUUAGGAAAAAAGAUGAUCAGAAACGUUAGGUAUGUAGUGCAUAAAGGAGAGAUCACCCGUUUUUCUGUCUUCCAAGCGAUAACAGCAUCAUAGAGAGAGGACAAAAUUCAACACUGCAUAAGCAUUAACAUGAUAGACCCCAUACCCCAAAGCUAUCCUCUCGGAUCUCACCCACUUCUCAUCGUAGAACAGGGAUAGCAAGGAGACAGAAGAAGAAGGAAAGUCUAAGGUAGAUGAGUAGAUAGGUAGACGUAUGCGUAGAGGAAGGAUACUCAAAAGUCAAAGAAUUGUGCUAUGGAUGCCCUUAAUUCGCUAAGAAUGUGAUUUGCUAAGAAUAUCCACAGGCUAAACAAAGCACUGAUUAAAAUAUUUAGACUAAACUAUGGUUACUCUACAAAGUCAUUCUCAACCUUUAAAUUGGGAAAACUACGCUCACUAAUCUUUUCUUUUUUGAGGAAGAUUGACCCUCAACUAACAUCC